AUUGAACGCUGGCGGCAGGCUUAACACAUGCAAGUCGAGCGGGGUGAUGGUGCUUGCACUAUCACUUAGCGGCGGACGGGUGAGUAAUGCUUAGGAAUCUGCCUAUUAGUGGGGGACAACUUCUCGAAAGGGAUGCUAAUACCGCAUACGUCCUACGGGAGAAAGCAGGGGAUCACUUGUGACCUUGCGCUAAUAGAUGAGCCUAAGUCGGAUUAGCUAGUUGGUGGGGUAAAGGCCUACCAAGGCGACGAUCUGUAGCGGGUCUGAGAGGAUGAUCCGCCACACUGGGACUGAGACACGGCCCAGACUCCUACGGGAGGCAGCAAUGGGGAAUAUUGGACAAUGGGGGGAACCCUGAUCCAGCCAUGCCGCGUGUGUGAAGAAGGCCUUAUGGUUGUAAAGCACUUUAAGCGAGGAGGAGGCUCUUUUGGUUAAUACCCAAGAUGAGUGGACGUUACUCGCAGAAUAAGCACCGGCUAACUCUGUGCCAGCAGCCGCAGUAA
rnacentral:rRNA from 1 species